rnacentral:rRNA from 1 species
UACAGAGGUCCCAAGCGUUGUUCGGAUUCAUUGGGCGUAAAGGGUGCGUAGGUGGCGCCGUAAGUCGGGUGUGAAAUUUCGGAGCUUAACUCUGAAACUGCAUUCGAUACUGCGGUGCUUGAGGACUGGAGAGGAGACUGGAAUUCAUGGUGUAGCAGUGAAAUGCGUAGAGAUCAUGAGGAAGACCAGUGGCGAAGGCGGGUCUCUGGACAGUUCCUGACACUGAGGCACGAAGGCCAGGGGAGCAAACGGG